rnacentral:rRNA from 1 species
UACGUAGGGGGCAAGCGUUGUCCGGAUUUAUUGGGCGUAAAGAGCGUGUAGGCGGCUUUACAGGUCCGUUGUGAAAACUCGAGGCUCAACCUCGAGACGCCGGUGGAAACCGUAAAGCUAGAGUCCGGAAGAGGAGAGUGGAAUUCCUGGUGUAGCGGUGAAAUGCGCAGAUAUCAGGAGGAACACCCGUGGCGAAAGCGGCUCUCUGGGACGGUACUGACGCUGAGACGCGAAAGCGUGGGGAGAAAACAGG